rnacentral:lncRNA from 1 species
GGUGCAGACGCCUGGACUACAACUCCCAGGGAUCCUGGUGCCGGCUCGCGCACGCCUCCUGCAGGCGCGGUGCGGGGAGGCGUCGGUGUGACUGCUGGACCUUUCGCCCCGCAUCUGUGAGCUCGGAGACGCUGUGGCUGCGGGCAGUUGCUGCGUCGGGAACCAGGGGGGAGCUGAGCCUGGCUGGUUUGUGAUCAGCACUGCCUCCAGCCUCAGACAGUCUGUAGUGUGCUCUAGUCACUUGGUGACAAGGACUGUGGUGGAAGUCAACCUGACCACGGACUGUUGGCCAGCACCCGGCCCAGAAUAGCGUGGCUGACUUGCUGAUUGAGGUCAGCAGCUCCCAAGAAGCACGAAAAGCAAAGGGCUUUGCAGUAAGUAUGGAGUUGCUUGUUAUUUGAGGUAGGGGUAGAAAAUCU